rnacentral:rRNA from 1 species
GAUGAACGCUGGCGGCGUGCCUAAUACAUGCAAGUCGAGCGAACAGACGAGGAGCUUGCUCCUCUGACGUUAGCGGCGGACGGGUGAGUAACACGUGGAUAACCUACCUAUAAGACUGGGAUAACUUCGGGAAACCGGAGCUAAUACCGGAUAAUAUAUUGAACCGCAUGGUUCAAUAGUGAAAGACGGUUUUGCUGUCACUUAUAGAUGGAUCCGCGCCGCAUUAGCUAGUUGGUAAGGUAACGGCUUACCAAGGCAACGAUGCGUAGCCGACCUGAGAGGGUGAUCGGCCACACUGGAACUGGAACACGGUCCAGACUCCUACGGGAGGCAGCAGUAGGGAAUCGUCCGCAAUGGGCGAAAGCCUGACGGAGCAACGCCGCGUGAGUGAUGAAGGUCUUCGGAUCGUAAAACUCUGUUAUUAGGGAAGAACAAAUGUGUAAGUAACUAUGCACGUCUUGACGGUACCUAAUCAGAAAGCCACGGCUAACUACGUG